rnacentral:rRNA from 1 species
UACGGGGGGGGCAAGCGUUGUUCGGAAUUACUGGGCGUAAAGGGCUUGUAGGUGGCCAACUAAGUCAGACGUGAAAUCCCUCAGCUUAACCGGGGAACUGCGUCUGAUACUGGAUGGCUGGAGUGUGGGAGAGGGAUGCGGAAUUCCAGGUGUAGCGGUGAAAUGCGUAGAUAUCUGGAGGAACACCGGUGGCGAAGGCGGCAUCCUGGACCAUUACUGACACUGAAAAGCGAAAGCCAGGGGAGCAAACGGG